rnacentral:lncRNA from 1 species
UUAAUUUCGAGCCUAAAUUUAAGCUCUAAGCUAGGUUUGAAAUUAAUUCAAGCCGACCUCGAGCGAGCAUAAUUUCGAGUCGAGCGAGCUCGAGCCCUAAACGAGCUGCUUGAAAUUCUCAAUAUCGUACGAUCAAUAGUUUAAUUUGUAUAGAACAUUAUCUACAAUUUGAUACAAAAAUAUAUCUAAUAGUUCAAAGUACAAAAUAAUUUUAUGAAAUAUAGUAUUAUAAUAUGAAGAAAAAUAACUUAUGAGCUGAAUAUCCAAUCUUUUCGGCUUCAUAUGUUAUCUCUUCCGUCUUCAAUUUCUAUAUUAUUACUUUUUAUUUAUGCGGCCAAAAAAUAAAUAAAUUAUAUAGACAAAUAUUGGAUUAAACUAUCUAAUCAUAUAUAAUUAAAAUCAAAAUUUUAUAUAAACAAUAAUUUUUUACUUUAAAAAUAUUCUAUAUAUAUAUUUUCUUAAGCACAUAAUUAAUGGCAAAGUAGGUAACGACGGGUGCGUACUGUUACUUGAUAACUUGGAGAGCUUUGGUUUGGCCACUUGAGGGGAGAGAGAGAGAGAGAGAGAGAGAGAUAUUAGAAAUUUAGAGCUCUAUGCAAGAAAGAAAGGGAGAAAAUAAAAAUUUAGUGAAUUUUGCAAAUAAAAAUUUAGUGAAAUUUUGCACUUUUGUUUUUCUAUUGGAUUUAUUUUUAUGAAUCAACAACAUUGACCCAAUUUUAACUAAACUCAUAUUACUAAUUCAGCCUAUAUAUAAUUAAAAUAUAUUAUAUUUAUAUAUUUUUUUAAUAUAUAUAUAUGGUCUGGCUACUAUACUAUUAUGAGUACGAUCGCCCUUGUACUCAUAAGUUGUUUUCGAUGAUAGAGCUUCUGAAUCGACGAUCCACACCGUUAAACUUUAUUUACAGCAUUUAAAACUUUUAGAAAUAAAAUUUUAUAAUUUUUCGACAUCAUUUACCUUACGAUCAAGAGGUCACAAAUUUGACAAUUUUUAACGACCGGCAUGGGAUACUUGCUAGUUUAAUAGUGUAAAAGAAUCGGAAUUUGUUGAAUUUUUGAUAGAAAAUUCUAUUCACUAUAUAGAUAAAGCUCAAUAACUCCGAUCUUGAAUUGAAUGAUCCGAUCAUCCUUUUUUAGAACGUUGUUUGAUUUUGACCGUUCAUUUUAUGCCCACUUGAUAGACUUUAUUAUGAUUUCGAAAAUUUACGAAAUUUAUUUUCUAGAAGCUUCAAAUACUCUAGAUCAUAUUUAACGGAGUGGAUCGUCGAUUCGGAAGCUCCAU